rnacentral:sRNA from 1 species
AUGUACCCCUGUACACUCCGGUCCUCCGCGCCGUCCGCACCCACCUGACGACUGCUCGCUACGUUUUGUUAGCC